AGUGAACGCUGGCGGUAGGCCUAACACAUGCAAGUCGAACGGCAGCACAGUAAGAGCUUGCUCUUACGGGUGGCGAGUGGCGGACGGGUGAGGAAUACAUCGGAAUCUACUUUUUCGUGGGGGUUAACGUAGGGAAACUUACGCUAAUACCGCAUACGACCUACGGGUGAAAGCAGGGGAUCUUCGGACCUUGCGCGAUUGAAUGAGCCGAUGUCGGAUUAGCUAGUUGGCGGGGUAAAGGCCCACCAAGGCGACGAUCCGUAGCUGGUCUGAGAGGAUGGUCAGCCACACUGGAAGUGAGACACGGUCCAGACUCCUACGGGAGGCAGCAGUGGGGAAUAUUGGACAAUGGGCGCAAGCCUGAUCCAGCCAUACCGCGUGGGUGAAGAAGGCCUUCGGGUUGUAAAGCCCUUUUGUUGGGAAAGAAAAGCAGCAGGUUAAUACCCCGCUGUUCUGACGGUACCCAAAGAAUAAGCACCGGCUAACUUCGUG
rnacentral:rRNA from 1 species